rnacentral:misc_RNA from 1 species
CAGAGUCGUAAAAAACUCCCAAACCCAUGUGAACUUACCUUUGUUGCCUCGGCAGGACCUACCCGGUAGCUACCCUGUAGCUACCCUGUAGCCUGCCGGUGGACCAUUCAACUCUUGUUAUUUUAUAGAAAUCUGAGCGUCUUAUUAAAUAAGUCA